UACGUAGGGGGCAAGCGUUUAUCCGGAAAUCAUUGGGCGUAAAGCGCGUGUAGGCGGUUCCGUAAGUCCGCUCUGAAAGCCCAGGGCUCAACCCUGGGAGGCGGGUGGAUACUACGGAACUGGAGUACGGAAGAGGAGAUUGGAAUUCCUGGUGUAGCGGUGAAAUGCGCAGAUAUCAGGAGGAACACCAACAGCGAAGGCAGAUCUCUGGGACGUUACUGACGCUGGAGACGCGAAAGCGUGGGGAGCAAACAGG
rnacentral:rRNA from 1 species